GGACCAACCAAAACUCUUAUUGUAUACCCCCUCGCGGGUUUUUUUAUAAUCUGAGCCUUCUCGGCGCCUCUCGUAGGCGUUUCGAAAAUGAAUCAAAACUUUCAACAACGGAUCUCUUGGUUCUGGCAUCGAUGAAGAACGCAGCGAAAUGCGAUAAGUAAUGUGAAUUGCAGAAUUCAGUGAAUCAUCGAAUCUUUGAACGCACAUUGCGCCCGCCAGUAUUCUGGCGGGCAUGCCUGUCCGAGCGUCAUUUCAACCCUCGAACCCCUCCGGGGGGUCGGCGUUGGGGAUCGGCCCUCCCUUAGCGGGGUGGCCGUCUCCGAAAUACAGUGGCGGUCUCGCCGCAGCCUCUCCUGCGCAGUAGUUUGCACACUCGCAUCGGGAGCGCGGCGCGUCCACAGCCGUUAAACACCCAACUUCUGAAAUGUUGACCUCGGAUCAGGUAGGAAUACCCGCUGAACUUAA
rnacentral:rRNA from 1 species